ensembl:lincRNA 4930440C22Rik RIKEN cDNA 4930440C22 gene
UGUACUAGCAUGAGUUCCAGGCAGGGCACCAUUGUAGAUUAAAGGGAUUGUGGUUGGGAGGGGGUUAACAUUUUUCUUUUGAUAUCAUGCAGUGUACUUUCUGUGACAAAGAUGCUAGAUCAUAAGGAGAAAGAUCCUACGUGGGCUCAACUUCUUCAUGUUCAAUGAAUUGUGAUGGGUUCUUGACAAUUUUUGGACAGCAAACUGUAGCAGCUUUACUUUUUGACAGCUUUCUUAAAUUAUAAGACUCAUGUCAUCUAUUCAAGAACAAAAGAAACAGUUAUCAGAGUGAAGAGGAAACCUACAGAAUGGGAGAAAUGUUUGUAAACAACUCAUCUGAUAAAUUAUUAAUAUACAGCAUCUAUAAAGACUCAAAUGACUUAAAUGUAAGUUGACAAGGAUAACAAGAAUGCAUUUAAAAGCAGACUAGAAAACUGAACUGACAUUUCUCAAAUGAAUAUGUAAGUAGUUAAGUAGUAUUUCAAAAAAUAUUCUCCAUUAAUAAUAAUGAAGUAAAUAGAAAAGAAAAUAACAACAGUGAGAUUCUAUAGCUCUAGUAAGAACAGUUACUGCCUAAAUGACCUAAGGUACCAAGUGCUACUGAAGAUGCAGAAGAAAGCCAACCUUUGGUUGUUAUUGGAAGGGACAGAAAUUAGUAAGUCGUCAUAGAAAACAAUAUAGAGUUUUCACACACACAAAAUAAAAUUAAUGUAGAACUACUAUGCAAAACCAACAAGACUGCUACCUAGUAUGUAGCUACAAGAAAAUCAGCUUGUUGGAGUGAAUGCUUCACUCUUAUGUUUCUCAUAGCAAUAUUCACAAUGGAGAAAUAGAAGCUCCAUGCUCAUCUCCUGAUGAGUGCAUAGGAAAGUGCCAUGCAUACACAUAAUAGAAUACUUAGUUACAAAAUUAAUGAUGUACCACUAUCUGUAACACCUGGGAUAGAACCUUAGACUACUCUGGCGAGUGAAAUAUGUCAGAGGUCAAAUUACUGAAUAAUUAAAGAUAUUAACAUAUUUGAGAAUUUCAUAGCAAUUUCCAGGAUUCUGUGACAUGUAAGAGAAUCAAAUGUAAACUACAGUUGUUUUGAAAAGUUUAUUUAUCAUUUAUUUAUUUAUUUACAAAAUUAGGCUUGUGCAUUGGGUAAUCAUAGUCAUUUUUUCUUUGUAUUUUUCACCCUUUCACUUAUUGUAAUAUGAAUUUGUGUUUCUCUUUGUUCAUGCCUGAAAUUUAAUUGGAACUUUCAACUUGAUAGCCUUAUCAAAGCAGCAAUUGGAUGUUCACAGUAGUUAUAAGAAGUCAUGGGUAUGUUUAGAUUGGUGCUUUGUAGAUUUAUCUCAAUAUUAAAUUUCACACAUAUCAAAUUCAGGAGAAAAUGUAUACUUGAAGACUGAAUGCCUGACAAGACUGAAAGGAACACUUGGCAAACACCCAAAGGCUUAAUCUUACCCAAUAUAGAAGUCACCCAGAUUAUGGGUCUGAAGAAUUCCCAAGGAAGAGAACCAAAUGCAGAAUACAGAUAAAAAGAUUUUAUCUUAUUAAUAUAAAUAUUGAUGUAAAAUGUC